ACCCCACGCCCCUGGGACCCUGACCUGAGCUGAACUCGAGUCGGACGUGUAACUGACUGAGCCCCCCGGGCGCCCCACCGGAAUUCAGUUUUAAUGUGGGUUCGGUGUCCUGCCGGGAUGGCUCCAGUCCCAGGACACCGAGCUCCUGAACUGUGGAAGUUGUCAAGUGUCCCAAGCUGGUAGAAACACCACAGGCCUCUGGUGGGGGCAGAAUCGAAGGUGGGUUUACGUCCUGGGAUUUAGAAUCUGAGAAGCCAAACCACAGACGCCCAGGUAUAUUAGCUCUCCAUCGCUGCGGAACAAAGCGUCCCCAGCUGAGAGGCUUUGAACAACAGUUUGUUGCUCCGUUUCUGUGGGUCAGGAGUUCAGGAGUGGCUCGGCUGGUGGGCUGGCUCAGGGUCUCUCGUGACAGCGGCAGCCAGGACAGUCGGCUCACAUGGCUGGCAGGCUGGUUCUCCAUCCCCAAAGCCUCCCCAGGGGCUGCUCAUCUGUCCUCCUGACUCGGUGGCUGCCUCCCUCCAGAAUGAGCCAUCAAACAGUAGAAGGUCAAGGUCUUCAAACCCCAGAGCUUGGAAAGCACACAGUGCCAUCUCUCCAUCAUGCCUGUGGUCACAGUGGUCAGCUCCAUCGAGCAUGGGACGGGCUCCACAGGGGCAUGGACACCUGGGGGCUCGGUCGCUUGGGGGCCUUUUGAGGACCCUGGAUGUGGGGGAAACAUGGCGUAUGUGACUUCCUCGUUAGUGGUUUUCAAAUGUCUUAUCUUUUUUUAAACCAGAACACUUGUAUUAGAACCGCUUCUAUUAGAAUUCCACUUUAUGUACAAAUAAGAACAGAGCCACCCUAGGGCUGGGCACACUGGGUUCACUUCCCCGAGCCCCGUCCUCUGGCUCCACCUCCAGUCAAGGGACGCUCUGCCUUCUCCAGAGGGCAAGAGUGCAGUCGGAGGGUGUGAGGAAGUGGGCGCUGUCCCGCCCUGCUGGGCACACGGGACUUAGGCACCGUUGACAGACAGCAAUCAGUGCAUCUAUCAAAAUUUAAACACACACAUCUUUGCCCCGUCAGUGUUACCUCUAGGAAUCCGUCCUACCCAUACGCUUAUGGAAGUGCACAGAGAUGUGAAUAUCAGGACAUUCAGUCAAACGUCCGACAGCAAAAUUUGGGGAACAUUUAAAUGCUCCCCAAUGACAAAGGCUGCUUAUAUCAAGGACAGAACAGCCACGCAAUGGGACACUCAGCACCUCUGGAAAAUGGAGUAUAUUUAUUUGUAUUGACCUGGAAAGGUUUAUCGUUACAUAAAAAAGUGCCAACUGCAAAAUACUACUUACAGAGUGAUUCUAUUUUUAUAAAAAAAUAUGCACAUACAUACUUUUAUAGUCAUGGAGGAUUUCUGGAAAGUUAAGGUGGUUUUCCUUGGAGAGGUGGGAAUGAGGAAUGUGUAGGUCAGGGGAAGGGAUCAAGAGAUUUCAAUUUUUAAAUUUAUACCAUUUAAUAUUUCUUAAAUUGAGUCCAACCAAUUUAUGAAUCAUUUUUUAUUGACAUAGAAUUCAUAUACCGUAACCUUUCCCACUUUGAAUGGUGCAGUUCCGAGGCUUUAGUAUGGUGACAGCAUUAUGCCAUUGUCACUGCUAGCUGAUUCCAGAAUAGGAUAGAUUGCGUUAAGAGAUAUUUUAUUUUAUUUUUAACGUUUAUUUAUUUUGAGAGAGAGAGAGAGAGGGAGAGGAGAACACAAGCAGGGAAGGGGUAGAGAGAGAGAGUCCAAACAGCAUGAAGCCCAUCCAUCUGGGGCUCGAUCCCAUGAACCAGACCAUCAUGACCUGAGCCGAAAUCAAGAGUUGGACACUCAAGCAACUAAGCCACCCAGGAGCCCAGAUCACACAUAUUUUGGAAGGGAAAUAGGAAAGCUGACUUCGGUUGAUAUCUCCCAGGGCUCAGGCUGCCUCGAUGGACAGGUCACUGAAAGGGGCUGCCGACGGAGGGCAGUGGUCAUUGCACCCCUACGUGGGCCAGCCCCUCCCACAUUGCAGGCUUCCCAGACUCCUUCUGGCGGCCCGUGGCCAUGCCCCACGGCACCCUUGUCUGGAAGCGCUCACGCUGUGUGCUUUGUUCCCGGACGCCCGGGUGACUCUGGAUCUCUCUCCGCCUGCCUUCUCCAUUCCUGGCGGUCACAGUCAGUGACGGUGACCAACCUCCACCACUGACUGUCCUUAGACGUUGUGUGUUACUGGGUAUUUCUGAUCCUCCCAGGCAGGGCCCGUGGCCUCUUCGGCACCGAGCACAGCGAAGCAGGAAAUGCUCCACGGCAAGAGGGAAAAGGAGGGAUCCCCAAACAGGAGGUCAGCACCGCAGCGUCCCCGGAGCCUCGACGACUGUGGGGCCCUUCGAGGGGCCCAGCACCAAUGCGCCCCGAGCCCAGGCUGUCGGCCUGCAACUGGUGGUGUUUCCCUACCGGGUGCCCUCCCCCAUCCGCCAAGCCCCCGUCUGGGAACCAUCUGGAGGAUAAAGCCCUUCCCGGGAGUAAAGCAAACCCCAAUCUUCUUCGCACGUUCCUACAGCAAGCAUGUACGCGCCCCGAUUCUGCGUCCUGCUGCGUCCAGAGGGUGGCCGAUGUGUCAGGACACGGACCCACAGACGCAGUGACCCCUGCCUACUAGAUACGUGACGCACAGGCAGAUCCAAUGCUAUUUAUAAAUCCCCUGAAACACGUAAUUAAAUCGCCAAACCUGUGAGGCUCAGUACGUUUAAGUGGGUUCUGACUCAUUCUGAUGUCUGUUUGCAGGAUCUUAGCAGAAAAUGUACUUGAGGAAACAGAAAAAGGACUUAGAACAAAAUAAAAUGUCAGUGAAAUGAAA